rnacentral:rRNA from 1 species
UGCAGUCGAGGGGCAGCAUGGUGUAGCAAUACGCUGAUGGCGACCGGCAAACGGGUGCGGAACACGUACGCAACCUACCCAAAACUGGGGGAUAGCCCGGGGAAACCCGGAUUAAUACCUCGUAACAUUAUGGAGUGGCAUCACUUUAUAAUUAUAGCUCAGGCGGUUUUGGAUGGGCGUGCGGCUGAUUAGGUAGUUGGCGGGGUAACGGCCCACCAAGCCUUCGAUCAGUAACUGGUGUGAGAGCACGACCAGUUACACGGGCACUGAGACACGGGCCCGACUCCUACGGGAGGCAGCAGUAAGGAAUAUUGGGCAAUGGACGCAAGUCUGACCCAGCCAUGCCGCGUGAAGGAUGAAGGUCCUCUGGAUUGUAAACUUCUUUUAUCUGGGGCGAAAACCACCCUUUCUAGGGUAUUUGACAGUACCAGAUGAAUAAGCACCGGCUAACUCCGUGCCAGCAGCCGCGGUAAUACGGAGGGUGCAAGCGUUAUCCGGAUUCACUGGGUUUAAAGGGUGCGUAGGCGGGCAGGUAAGUCAGUGGUGAAAUCUUCGAGCUUAACUCGGAAACUGCCGUUGAUACUAUCUGUCUCGAAUUUAGUGGAGGUAAGCGGAAUAUGUCAUGUA